GCAAGUCGAACGCUCUCGACCUUCGGGUCACAUGAGAGAGUGGCGAACGGGUGAGUAACACGUGAGAAACCUACCCCGGAGACCGGGAUAACCUCGGGAAACCGUGGCUAAUACCGGAUGCCCCCAUCGGACCGCAUGGUCUGAUGAGGAAAGGCUCCGGCGCUCUGGGAGGGUCUCGCGGCCUAUCAGUUAGUUGGUGGGGUAACGGCCUACCAAGGCGACGAUCGGUAGCUGGUCUGAGAGGAUGAUC
rnacentral:rRNA from 1 species